rnacentral:rRNA from 1 species
AACGAACGCUGGCGGCAGGCCUAACACAUGCAAGUCGAACGAACUCUUCGGAGUUAGUGGCGGACGGGUGGGUAACACGUGGGAACGUGCCCUUUGGUACGGAAUAACUCAGGGAAACUUGAGCUAAUACCGUAUGUGCCCUUCGGGGGAAAGAUUUAUCGCCAUUGGAGCGGCCCGCGUCUGAUUAGCUAGUUGGUGAGGUAAUGGCUCACCAAGGCUACGAUCAGUAGCUGGUCUGAGAGGAUGGCCAGCCACAUUGGGACUGAGACACGGCCCAAACUCCUACGGGAGGCAGCAGUGGGGAAUCUUGCGCAAUGGGCGAAAGCCUGACGCAGCCAUGCCGCGUGGAUGAUGAAGGUCUUAGGAUUGUAAAAUCCUUUCACCGGGGACGAUAAUGACGGUACCCGGAGAAGAAGCCCCGGCUAACUUCGUGCCAGCCGCCGCGGUAAGAC